GCACGCUAUAAUCUAAAUCCUGCUGAAUUUCAUAGUUUACCGACUUCCACAACUGAGACAAUCCAACGUUUCGGAACCAUAGCUCCUACUAACAACUGAUGUAACAUUCACAGGGUAACUAACAUACAAUGUCUACGCUAUUCCCCAUAUAUACCCCCCCACCAAACUGAAACUAGAGCCGCUGUACAUCCCUUGUCUUACAGAAAAAUCGAAACCAUUUUCCACAAAAUAUCUGCACAACAAAUCAUGCAUCUUCUAAAAUAAAAUUGUUUUCAUCAAGUUGAGAGCCCCCCCACUUGCUUCUGCAGCAUGGAUGUUCCAGAGAAAACCAUCAUCUGAUAAUUUUUCCGAUACUGCUUCAUCUGUUCUUCAGGGAUCUUUGUAAAGCUAAAUCUAUUUGUCCAGAUUGCCUCUGCUUCUUCUGCGGACGGAAGUACAAGGUUUUCUACUUUCAGGGACCGCAAAAGGUUCUCUACACAAGAAAACAGAGACUGGAAGUAACCCUGUCCUUGACAAUUAGUACUUGUAGCAA
rnacentral:misc_RNA from 1 species